rnacentral:rRNA from 1 species
UACGGGGGGGGCAAGCGUUGUUCGGAAUUACUGGGCGUAAAGGGCUCGUAGGCGGCCAACUAAGUCAGACGUGAAAUCCCUCGGCUUAACCGGGGAACUGCGUCUGAUACUGGAUGGCUUGAAUCCGGGAGAGGGAUGCGGAAUUCCAGGUGUAGCGGUGAAAUGCGUAGAUAUCUGGAGGAACACCGGUGGCGAAGGCGGCAUCCUGGACCGGCAUUGACGCUGAGGAGCGAAAGCCCGGGGAGCAAACGGG